UAAAAGGCCUUGGCUAAAAUAGUUUCGGGCAGCAAAGGGCACUCGUCGUGGCCAGAAGACAUUGGGUGUCACUUUAGGGAACUUGAGUGACCAGGAGAUUCUUGGAGUAACCAUACGACACAAAGUCUGACCCAUGGGAUACUUUGGGUCAACCACAGGUCACUCAAGCUAAACCAGACAAAUUAUAAAGUCACCAGAGGGCUUUGGUUGGUGAAAGAACAACAAAAGAUGCUCAGCCAACCACAACAAAUUUGACCGACAAGAGGAUGCCUGGGCUUGCCAGAGGUCUUUUUGACCAAUCAACAUAUAUUAAGGCCAACCAGCGAGCACUUGGACCAAGCAGGGGAAAGUUACAGAAAACUAAACAAGCUUAUGACCCAAUAAAUAAAUUUGGCUCCACUUGGCUCCAGACUUCGGCUUGCCAAGAUACAACUGGAUCAAUAAAUAAACAUUUGAGACAAUCCUUUGGCAUACCAAAAUAAAUAGGCUCAACCUCGGGACCCUAAGGCAGAAAGCAGAUUGGAGGAGACCUGGGACAACCAUGUGAUGCUUGAGCUGACCAGAGGGCACUUAGGGCAACCAGAGAAUCUUGGGUAACGGGAGGAGCGGUCAUGUGGAGCUUUAUCCAGAGCUGGGACCACUGGGGAAUGAAUGCCCUAAGAGAGACAUACCAGUCCAGAUGCAUCUACUUCCUGAAGAUGUUGGUAGGCAGGGCCUGAAUACUUGGAUCCUCCAAUCGGAUUUAGCCUUCCCCUGGGAAUGGGUGGGGUCCUUCGUGGAGCUGACCAAUGGGUCGCCCUGGUUCUCUGAUCUGAGAUGUGAGACAAGGAACCGCUUCUAAAAAGAAGAAAAUGUAACAAAUAGAAAGUGUAAUAGAAAGUGUAAUAAGAAAAAAAAAUAUGUGAUUCAAAGAUUAUUGUCAAACACAACAUUUAGAAUUUUUUUUAUUUAAAAUGAGGGCAGGCCUAGACAAGACCUACUUCAGUUGUGCUGGUGUGAAUAAAGCAAUAUGAAUGUAAAUGUAAUAAAUUAAUAAGGCCUAUCAGUUAUUGUUUUUAAGGUCUCAAAUUCUCUUUAAUUCAAUUUACAUGCUUGAGUUAAAAGUGUGUAAUUUAUAGUUAUUAUUUACUGAAUACAUUGUGUUUACAGAUUGAACUGAGUGUCUUGUCCUUGAAGAAGGGUAUUCUUUGAA